GAUGAACGCUGGCGGCGUGCCUAAUACAUGCAAGUCGAGCGAACAGACGAGGAGCUUGCUCCUCUGACGUUAGCGGCGGACGGGUGAGUAACACGUGGAUAACCUACCUAUAAGACUGGGAUAACUUCGGGAAACCGGAGCUAAUACCGGAUAAUAUAUUGAACCGCAUGGUUCAAUAGUGAAAGACGGUUUUGCUGUCACUUAUAGAUGGAUCCGCGCCGCAUUAGCUAGUUGGUAAGGUAACGGCUUACCAAGGCAACGAUGCGUAGCCGACCUGAGAGGGUGAUCGGCCACACUGGAACUGAGACACGGUCCAGACUCCUACGAGAGGCAGCAGUAGGGAAUCUUCCGCAAUGGGCGAAAACCUGACGGAGCAACGCCGCGUGAGUGAUGAAGGUCUUCGGAUCGUAAAACUCUGUUAUUAGGGAAGAACAAAUGUGUAAGUAACUAUGCACGUAUUGACGGUACCUAAUCAGAAAGCCACGGCUAACUACGUG
rnacentral:rRNA from 1 species